rnacentral:lncRNA from 1 species
UUAUCACCCAAAGUGUCCUAGGUACUCAUAGGGAGCCCUUUUUAUGUGUGCAUGUGUUUUUGGUAUAAAUGAUUUUUGAGAAAAAUAGAGUGUGGGGAUGAGAAAAGAAUUCAUUGAUUAUCUUUUUGUGUUUCACAAGACCUUUGGUCUUGUGCCUACGUACCAACAUAAAAAUGAGGGAUCAAAACCUCGUAGGUCAUGGUAAAAAUUUCAAAUGAGUUGGUGAAUUGCUUUUAACAAAAGUUUAAUAAGAAAAGGCACAAAGGGCCA